rnacentral:rRNA from 1 species
UACGGAGGAUGCAAGCGUUAUCCGGAAUGAUUGGGCGUAAAGCGUCCGCAGGUGGCUGUGUAAGUCUGCUGUCAAAGAGCAAAGCUCAACUUUGUAAAGGCAGUGGAAACUACACGGCUAGAGUGCGUUCGGGGCAGAGGGAAUUCCUGGUGUAGCGGUGAAAUGCGUAGAGAUCAGGAAGAACACCGGUGGCGAAAGCGGCACGCUGGGCCGGUACUGACGCUGAGGAGCGAAAGCGUGGGUAGCAAACAGG